rnacentral:rRNA from 1 species
AGCUUUAGGGCUAGCCUCAAGUGAUGAUUAUUGGAGGUAGAGCACUGUUUGGACGAGGGGCCCCUCUCGGGUUACCGAAUUCAGACAAACUCCGAAUGCCAAUUAAUUUAACUUGGGAGUCAGAACAUGGGUGAUAAGGUCCGUGUUCGAAAGGGAAACAGCCCAGACCACCAGCUAAGGUCCCAAAAUAUAUGUUAAGUGGAAAAGGAUGUGGCGUUGCCCAGACAACUAGGAUGUUGGCUUAGAAGCAGCCAUCAUUUAAAGAGUGCGUAAUAGCUCACUAGUCGAGUGACACUGCGCCGAAAAUGUACCGGGGCUAAACAUAUUACCGAAGCUGUGGAUUGUCCUUUGGACAAUGGUAGGAGAGCGUUCUAAGGGCGUUGAAGCAUGAUCGUAAGGACAUGUGGAGCGCUUAGAAGUGAGAAUGCCGGUGUGAGUAGCGAAAGACGGGUGAGAAUCCCGUCCACCGAUUGACUAAGGUUUCCAGAGGAAGGCUCGUCCGCUCUGGGUUAGUCGGGUCCUAAGCUGAGGCCGACAGGCGUAGGCGAUGGAUAACAGGUUGAUAUUCCUGUACCACCUAUAAUCGUUUUA